rnacentral:pre_miRNA from 1 species
UAAACAGAUUAUUGUAUUCGAUUGUAUUCACGGUGCAAUCAUGGUCUAUUCAGAUGUUUUUAAACGAAAAGUAAAUCAAUAAACAUAAUAGACUCCU